UACGUAGGGGGCAAGCGUUGUCCGGAUUUAUUGGGCGUAAAGAGCGUGUAGGCGGCUAUACAGGUCCGUUGUGAAAACUCGAGGCUCAACCUCGAGACGCCGAUGGAAACCGUAUGGCUAGAGUCCGGAAGAGGAGAGCGGAAUUCCUGGUGUAGCGGUGAAAUGCGCAGAUAUCAGGAAGAACACCCGUGGCGAAGGCGGCUCUCUGGGACGGUACUGACGCUGAGACGCGAAAGCGUGGGGAGCAACAGG
rnacentral:rRNA from 1 species